GAUGAACGCUGGCGGCGUGCCUAAUACAUGCAAGUCGAGCGAACGGACGAGAAGCUUGCUUCUCUGAUGUUAGCGGCGGACGGGUGAGUAACACGUGGAUAACCUACCUAUAAGACUGGGAUAACUUCGGGAAACCGGAGCUAAUACCGGAUAAUAUUUUGAACCGCAUGGUUCAAAAGUGAAAGACGGUCUUGCUGUCACUUAUAGAUGGAUCCGCGCUGCAUUAGCUAGUUGGUAAGGUAACGGCUUACCAAGGCAACGAUGCAUAGCCGACCUGAGAGGGUGAUCGGCCACACUGGAACUGAGACACGGUCCAGACUCCUACGGGAGGCAGCAGUAGGGAAUCUUCCGCAAUGGGCGAAAGCCUGACGGAGCAACGCCGCGUGAGUGAUGAAGGUCUUCGGAUCGUAAAACUCUGUUAUUAGGGAAGAACAUAUGUGUAAGUAACUGUGCACAUCUUGAAGGUACCUAAUCAGAAAGCCACGGCUAACUACGUG
rnacentral:rRNA from 1 species